UACGUAGGUGGCAAGCGUUGUCCGGAUUUAUUGGGCGUAAAGGGAGCGUAGGUGGAUAUUUAAGUGGGAUGUGAAAUACUCGGGCUUAACCCGGGUGCUGCAUUUCAAACUGGAUAUCUAGAGUGCAGGAGAGGAAAGUAGAAUUCCUAGUGUAGCGGUGAAAUGCGUAGAGAUUAGGAAGAAUACCAGUGGCGAAGGCGGCUUUCUGGACUGUAACUGACACUGAGGCUCGAAAGCGUGGGGAGCAAACAGG
rnacentral:rRNA from 1 species